GAUGAACGCUGGCGGCGUGCUUAACACAUGCAAGUCGAACGAAGCACUUUACUUGAUUUUUUCGGAAUGAGAGUUCUGUGACUGAGUGGCGGACGGGUGAGUAACGCGUGGGUAACCUGCCUCAUACAGGGGGAUAACAGUUGGAAACGAACGCUAAUACCGCAUAGUCGAAGAUAUCGCAUGAUGACUUCGGGAAAGGAGCAAUCCGCAACGAGAUGGGCUCGCGUCUGAUUAGAUAGUUGGUGGGGUAACGGCCUACCAAGUCGACGAUCGGUAGCCGAACUGAGAGGUUGAUCGGCCGCAUUGGGACUGAGACACGGCCCAGACUCCUACGGGAGGCAGCAGUGGGGGAUAUUGCACAAUGGAGGAAACUCUGAUGCAGCAACGCCGCGUGAGGGAAGACGGGUCUUCGGGAUUGGUAAACCUAAGUUAUCAGGACGAUUAUGACGGUACCUGAAGAGAAAGCUCCGGCUAACUACGUGCCAGCAGCCG
rnacentral:rRNA from 1 species